GUAGACUUGUACAUCCACUUCGCA
rnacentral:siRNA from 1 species